rnacentral:rRNA from 1 species
CCGUGCAAAGGUAGCGUAAUCACUUGUCCUCUAAAUAGGGACCAGCAUGAAUGGCAACAUGAGAAAGGACCUGUCUCUUUGAGCUGGUCGGUGAAUCUGAUCUGCCUGUACAAAAGCAGGCAUAAAAAAACAAGACAAAAAGACCCUGUGAAACUUUAAAUGCCUCCCAACCAAAUGGGAAAGCAUUUUUCGGUUGGGGCAACCAAAGAGAAACAAACCUCACACUUUUGCAAGGCAAACAAGCCUAACAAACUAAAAAGAUCCAGUCUGACUGAUCAAAGAACAAAGCUACUCCAGGGAUAACAGCGCCACAUUCUUAAAGAGUCCUUAUCAACAAGAAUACCUACGACCUCGAUGUUGGAUCAGGGUAUCCCAAUGGCGCAAAAGCUAUUAAAGGUUCGUUUGUUCAACGAUUAAAACCCUACGUGAUCUGAGUUCAGAC